CCUACGGGCGGCAGCAGUGGGGAAUAUUGCACAAUGGGGGAAACCCUGAUGCAGCGACGCCGCGUGAGUGAAGAAGUAUUUCGGUAUGUAAAGCUCUAUCUGCAGGGAAGAAGAAAGACGGUACCUGACUAAGAAGCCCCGGCUAACUACGUGCCAGCAGCCGCGGUAAUACGUAGGGGGCAAGCGUUAUCCGGAUUUACUGGGGGUAAAGGGAGCGUAGACGGCUGUGCAAGUCUGAAGUGAAAGCCCAGGGCUCAACCCUGGGACUGCUUUGGAAACUGUGGAGCUAGAGUACUGGAGAGGUAAGUGGAAUUCGUGGUGUAGCGGUGAAAUGCGUAGAUAUUAGGAGGAACACCAGUGGCGAAGGC
rnacentral:rRNA from 1 species